rnacentral:lncRNA from 1 species
AGAAUGUUGGUAAUGUUGAUGCUGAAAUUCUUGAAAAUGUGGUUGGUAAUGUUGAGAAUAAUAAUAAGGAGAAUGAAAGUGUUAAUCCGGAAAAUAGAGGCGAUGUUAAUUUGAAUACUUCACUUGAUAAUGAAGAUGAUGAUAAUCUGGAGGGUAAUGUUAAUGACAAUGUAGAGCAAGCAAACCCAAUUGAACAUUCGAUUGAUAUAUUUGAUCCAAGAAAUUGGGAUGCUCUUGAUUCUAAAAUGAUUGAUUUAUUAGUUAUGGAAGGUCCUA